rnacentral:misc_RNA from 1 species
GAUGAAGAACGUAGCGAAAUGCGAUAAGUAGUGUGAAUUGCAGAAUUCAGUGAAUCAUCGAAUCUUUGAACGCACAUUGCGCCCGCCAGUAUUCUGGCGGGCAUGCCUGUUCGAGCGUCAUUACAACCCUCAGGCCCCCGGGCCUGGCGUUGGGGAUCGGCGGAGCCCCCCGUGGGCACACGCCGUCCCCCAAAUACAGUGGCGGUCCCGCCGCAGCUUCCAUCGCGUAGUAGCUAACACCUCGCGACUGGAGAGCGGCGCGACCACGCCGUAAAACACCCAACUCUUCUGAAGUUGACCUCGAAUCAGGUAGGAAUACCCGCUGAACUUAAGCAUAUCAAUAAGCGGAGGA